CAGCCGCCACGGUAAAACGUAGGUGGCAAGCGUUGUCCGGAAUUAUUGGGCGUAAAGGGUGCGUAGGCGGUUUGGCAAGUCUUGUGUGAAAUCUUCGGGCUCAACCCGAAGCCUGCACGAGAAACUGCCGGGCUUGAGUAUUGGAGAGGUGAGUGGAAUUUCCGGUGUAGCGGUGAAAUGCGUAGAUAUCGGAAGGAACACCUGUGGCGAAAGCGGCUCACUGGGCAAUAACUGACGCUGAUGCACGAAAGCUAGGGGAGCAAACAGGAUUAGAUACCCCCGUAGUCCCUGUCUCUUAUAC
rnacentral:rRNA from 1 species